AAGCUGACACAAUUUGAGGGGAAUCACAAAUACAAGAUUAGCAACAAAGCCUGGGAAGGGGGUUGUGGAGGGGAGGGGCCCUGAAGCUUGAGUUUCAUUAAUUUUACAGUAAAUUUGCCUCUGCGUGGAAGCCCACAGCCCAGCCACCUACCAACAACUGAGUCCGGCAAAGUCAGCCCAGGGACUGGACAGGGAGGGGUUAACACCACUCUGAGGGGUUGGGUGUCCUGGAGGGAACCUAGGAAGGCUUCCUGGUGGAGGUGACAUCUCCACGGAGCCAUGGCAGGCAGGCAUUGGAGAGUGGGUGCUCUGACUUCAGUGGUCACCCUGAGGCUGCGCCCCGCCCAGGAAGAGGGUCUCUGAGGUCUCAAGCUCCAGCAGAGGCUUGGAUGAGGCCAAGAACAUUCUGGGGGCUUGUUCACUAUGACCUAGAAUGGACAGAGCAUGCGAGGCCUUGUGCUGCUCUCCCCACUGCUCCCACUUCAUCUGCCCAUUUCCCAAGGGAGGCCCAAGAAGGGGAAGAGACUGGCCCGAGGUUGCACAGUCAGUCUAGAAGCAGACUGGGAAGUAGGAGCCAGGCUGCGUCCUCGCCGCCCUGGGGGCUCUUCCCUGCCCACCCCCUUCUCCCAGACCCAUUGCCCUAUUGUUUGCAGAAGCUCUAGGGGGAGGGCCUGCCCCACAACCAAGACCUCACUCGAGUCCAAGACCCAACCGUGUGGCCCACUCUGGCCAGUCCAAGGUCACGGGCUAAGAAAUGGCUGUGGCGGGGAAUUGGGGGGCGUCCCGGCCCAGGAGCGGAGUUUGCACACGUGCCUCUUCCCUGUGGCAGCAGGAGGGAAGGGGGACAGGGAGGGGCCGCAGGGAUGUGAAGGAGGAGAGGGCAGGGGGAGGAUGGAGAGAGGAGGACGCGGAGGGCGCUGCCGGUCCAGGAGCCCCUCCACCGAUACAGCCCCGUGCCUGGGAACAAAUUGCACGUUUGGAGUCAUUUUCCCGGAAGAAAAAAAAGCCUCUCUAAAAAUAUUCUUUCUUUCUCACCUCAUCCUGGGACUGGAGCAGCCCAGCUGGGUGACAACCACGGAAGGGAGCGGAGCACAGGAGAGUGACCUGGAGGCUCCAGGCCUGAGGUGA
rnacentral:lncRNA from 1 species